rnacentral:rRNA from 1 species
GACAGAGGUUGCAAACGUUGUUCGGAAUCACUGGGCAUAAAGCGCACGUAGGCGGUCUGUUAAGUCAGGUGUGAAAGCCCCCGGCUCAACCGGGGAACAGCAUUCGAUACUGGCAGACUCGAGGAUGGUAGGGGUGAGUGGAACUCCAGGUGGAGCGGUGAAAUGCGUAGAUAUCUGGAGGAACACCGGUGGCGAAAGCGGCUCACUGGACCAUUACUGACGCUGAGGUGCGAAAGCUAGGGUAGCAAACGGG